rnacentral:rRNA from 1 species
GACGAACGCUGGCGGCGUGCCUAAUACAUGCAAGUCGAACGAGAGCGCCCGGUGCUUGCCCUGGUCAAUCUAGUGGCGUACGGGUGAGUAACACGUGGGUAACCUGCCCAUCAGAGGGGGAUAACAUCCGGAAACGGAUGCUAAAGCCGCAUAGGUCUUCGAACCGCAUGGGUUGAAGUGGAAAAGAGGCGCAAGCUUCUGCUGAUGGAUGGACCCGCGGUGCAUUAGCUAGUUGGUGAGGUAACGGCUCACCAAGGCCGUGAUGCAUAGCCGACCUGAGAGGGUGAUCGGCCACAUUGGGACUGAGACACGGCCCAAACUCCUACGGGAGGCAGCAGUAGGGAAUCUUCCGCAAUGGACGCAAGUCUGACGGAGCAACGCCGCGUGAGUGAAGAAGGUUUUCGGAUCGUAAAACUCUGUUGUUAGAGAAGAACAAGUGCUAGAGUAACUGUUAGCGCCUUGACGGUAGCUAACCAGAAAGCCACGGCUAACUACGUG